UAAAAUUUUAUUAUAAAAAUAUUAAAAUAAUAUUAUAUUAAUUUAUAUUAUAUUAUAUAGAUAAAAUGACUGAGUGUAAUUUGAACUAUAUUUUUGUAAAAUUUGAAAAACAUAUUUAAAACUUUAAAAACAUUAUAACUUUUUAUAAUGAAAAAUACAAAUAUAUUAGCAAUAUUAUUGAUUUAAAAUUUAAAAGCAAAACUUUUAAUAUUAA
rnacentral:tRNA from 1 species